UGCCCACUGCAGUUUUCGGUUGGA
rnacentral:siRNA from 1 species